rnacentral:rRNA from 1 species
GUUAUAGGAUCAAGCGAAUAAGUGCAUAUGGUGGAUGCCUUGGCGAUUACAGGCGAUGA